rnacentral:rRNA from 1 species
GGGCCCGCACAAGCGGUGGAGUAUGUGGUUUAAUUCGAUGCAACGCGAAGAACCUUACCAGGGUUUGACAUCCUGCGAAUCUCCUGGAAACAGGAGAGUGCCUUUGGGAACGCAGUGACAGGUGGUGCAUGGCUGUCGUCAGCUCGUGUCGUGAGAUGUUGGGUUAAGUCCCGCAACGAGCGCAACCCACGUCUUUAGUUGCCAGCAUUUAGUUGGGCACUCUAGAGAGACCGCCGGUGAUAAACCGGAGGAAGGUGUGGAUGACGUCAAGUCAUCAUGCCCCUUACAUCCUGGGCUACACACGUACUACAAUGCUACGGACAAAGAGCAGCAAGUUCGCGAGGACAAGCAAAUCUCAUAAACCGUGGCUCAGUUCAGAUCGUAGGCUGCAACUCGCCUACGUGAAGGCGGAAUCGCUAGUAAUCGCAGGUC